CCGCGAGGUUGGCUGAUGCCUCCCCUGCUCUCUCUUGUACACAACCUCGCGACCCUUGGCACAGCCAGAGAAAACACAGUCUGCACGCAAUGCUGGGUCUGUGGCACAAUGAUUAACCCGUAAAUGUGCUGUCAAUCCGCUUCGUAGCCUGCAAAGCCCGCUGAGAGUUGGAGGGGGGCAGACGAGUUUGAGUCAGCGUAAAAAAGCGCAUGGCAGCUUCGUGCGUGACAGAAAGAUGGAUGACCGAGAGAUUUCCGCACGCAACAAUUGUUUUUCCCUGGGAAGGCGAUACAAUAUGGGGACCGGACCCAUCCUCUCCCUGUUCCGAACCCCAGCAUGCCUGUUUGUGCACUUCGAGCCGGCCGCGGGCGCGAGCGAGGCAGAAUGUUGCUCAAUUACAGUUUGUGUAUAGUGUAAGUGAUUGCGUGUUGACUUACUCAAGCCAGAG
ensembl:lncRNA